UAUAUAAUAAGUGUGAGUCUAUAGGUACGACGAAGGGCAUUAUCGUAAAUACUUCUAUAUUUUGAGGGCAAUGGUAAUUUAAUUCUCACUUGUGACACGUCUUCCACCGAUUCUUCCAGAACUUUUGGCUCCAACUCUACACAUCAAUGGGAGCUCAAAAUUAAGACCUACUGUAAAUUGACACCUCCUUUGGGUUAUAUCCCUUUGCGUUUUCUGAAGCCGGAAGUAGUAUGUAUGAUCUUGUUAUUGCCAAUUUUUGUUUCAGAAAUUAAUUAGAAACCUAUACUUUUUACGUUUUAGAAUGGGAAUCUGCAUUUACUUGCUAUUUUUCUCUCGCUGCUAAUUAGAAGUGGACUAUGCACCCAAGGUGCUUGAUGAUAUGUCUGCAAAAGCAGAACGUGAUAUAGCAAAGCAUCAAGUUCAAUUAUUCAAAAGCUCAUGUAUGUACUUUUAUGGCAUUAAGACUAAAAACACAGUGCAAAACUUAUAUCGGGCCCUGUAGUUUGAAAUGUUAUGUGUCUCUUUUACCAAUUUACGUGAUUGAAAACUCUCUGUCAGCAGCUCAGGGUAUGUACUUUUAUGGCAUUUAUAACUAAAAGCACGAUGUAAUAUAAGUUGGUCAAGUCUAGGGGCUCUUUAGUUUAUUCGCUCUACUUGGUAGCUCUGAUGUAUACUUUUGUCUUGCAGAUAAAUUUGUAUGUAACUGCGAGAUAUGUUCCUUUGUUGGAUUUGACAGUGAGCCAACCUUCUGUUCAUUAUGUUUUUCGCUCUAGAAUUUAACUCUUUUUCUUACUUCGAUUGGGUGUUUGGAAAUAUAUGUACUUCUUGUGGUUGUUGAAAAAGUUACCAGCAUAUCACUUCAUAGAAUUUUUCCACAUUUGAUUAUCGAAUUCUCUGAAUUAUAUCUGACUUUGCAUGGAUCUUCAGAUUACCUAUCUUGCAGAUCACAAUACAGUGGUUCGGGCUGUAGUAUAGUCGUCUCAGUUUGUUGACACUUCUACCCCUUCGAUACUGUUCAACAAAAUUCCCCAGUAAAAGGAAAACAUAUAUAUGUCAUAAAGAGAAAUGGGCAUCAAGAAUCAAGUCAUUUUUAAAAAUAUCAUUGCUAGGUUGAAGAAGCUGAGUUAUUGGCUCAAACACCGAUCAUUUCACCUGGUGGUAGUGUCUCAAAAGGUUUCUGGUGGUAUUAUCAAGGGUGUUACCACCGGUCUGCUUAAUGAAUUGGCCGUUGAGACCUCUGCUUGCAUAACUUCUUAUUAUCUUGAUGAUGCAUGCGUAGAUCCUAAUUCACUAUACUAUUCUUGAUAAUGUGUGUUUCUGAACUUAUUGUCUUUCAAAAUGGUAUUCUGUUUAGAAGUUUAGUUUUCAGAAUUUUUCAAAAUGAGCAACUGGAGGAAGGCAAUGUGUAAUUAACACAAAGACGUGAAGGAUCCUUAAAUAUAACAUUUCGAGGAAAUUACAACUGAAGGAACCAUAAGCUUGCUUCUCGACUUUCAGGUUGAGCAGGGAUGUAGAUUAUGCCAAUAUCACCCUUCAGUUCUGGUAAUAGACAAGUCAUCUUUUUUACAUUUACCUCAUCUCAAAUAGGAUGAUAGAAUCACCAGAGCUAAGUAGGAAGAAGUAAAUCACUCUUUGUAAACUCCCUCGGAUCAAAGUGUAACUUUGCUGAUAGAUGAAUGAAUGCAGGGAUUUUUUUUUUUUUUUUUUUGAAAAGAAGUUCUGGUAAUAGACAUUUGACCAUCGUUGAAGCUUGGAUUGAUCAAUGAAGUAACUCAAACAUUGAGAUUGCAAUAAUUUAGUAUCAAAUUAUGAUUAUCCUCGAGUACACCUGUUAUUUUAUUAAUUGAGUACAACAACAACAGCCCAGUGAAAUCCCACAUCUUGGGGUCUGGGGAGGGUAUAAUGUACGCAGACCUUACUCCUACCAAGGUAGGAUGGCUGUUUCCGAGAGACCCUCGGCUCAAUAGAAGCAUAAAAAGGGGGUCAGAUAAGGUUAAAAGAUUUAAAACGAUAUUGCAAUGAAAUAAUGCAAGCGACACAGUAAAACAGGAUAAUCAAGGAAUUCAAAGCGAUAUGGAAAUGCAAAUCACGAAAGCGGCACAGAUAAAAUAGAGUAAUCAAAGUACAGAAAGUAGCAAAUAAUAACAUAAAUCAAAGCACAAGAAAUUAUAAUGCGCUAAUGCGCCUACUAAUAAGGAAAGAUAACGAGACUUAUAUACUAGCCUUCUACCCUAAUGUGGGUCCUCCACACCUUCCUAUCUAAGGUCAUGUCCUCGGUAAGCUGUAACUGCGUCAUGUCCUGUCUAAUCACCUCUCCCCAAUAUUUCUUUGGCCUACCCCUACCUCUUCUGAAACCAUCCAUGGCUAACCUCUCACACCUCCGCACUGGGGCAUCUAUGUCUCUCCUCUUCACAUGCCCAAACCAUCUCAGUCGCAUUUCCCGCAUCUUGUCUUCCACCGAGGCCACUCCCACCUUAUCCCGAAUAGCCUCAUUUCUAAUCCUGUCGCUCCUAGUGUGCCCACACAUCCAUCUCAACAUUCUCAUCUCGGCAACUUUCAUCUUUUGAACGUGAGAGAUCUUAACUGGCCAACACUCCGCCCCAUACAACAUAGCCGGUCUAACCACCACUCUGUACAACUUGCCCUUCAGUUGUGGUGGCACCUUCUUGUCACAUAGCACUCCUGAAGCUAGCCUCCAUUUCAUCCACCCUACCCCAAUACGAUGUGUGACAUCAUCGUCAAUCUCCCCGCUGCCUUGCAUGAUAGACCCAAGGUACUUGAAACUACUUUUCUUUUGGAUGGCCUGAGCACCAAGCCUAACUUCCACGCCAACCUCCUGGGGUGUCUCACUGAACUUACACUCUAAGUACUCUGUCUUGGUCCUACUCAGCUUAAAUCCUUUAGACUCCAAGGUAUGUCUCCAAUCCUCCAGCUUAGCGUUAACUCCGCUACGAGUCUCAUCGAUCAGGACUAUGUCGUCCGCGAAAAGCAUACACCAUGGCACCUCACCUUGAAUUUGUCGCGUCAAUCUAUCCAUCACCAAGGCAAAUAAAAACGGACUAAGAGCUAAUCCUUGAUGCAACCCCAUCACAACUGGGAAGUGCUCUGAGUCCCCUCCUACUGUCCUUACUCUAGUUUUGGCUUCCUCAUACAUGUCCUUGAUCACCCUAAUGUAUGCUACAGGUACACCUUUAGCCUCCAAACAUCUCCAUAGGAUUUCUCUUGGAACUUUAUCGUAAGCCUUUUCUAGGUCGAUGAAUACCAUAUGCAAGUCCCUCUUCCUCUCCCUAUACUGCUCCACCAGUCUCCUCACAAGAUGAAUGGCUUCUGUAGUUGAGUACGAGCGAUAAUAGGAGCAAGGGUAAUGGCUUACAGAGGAAUAUUGAACUUCAUUGUGAUGAACCAGAAUAUGAUAGUGAUGAUGCUUACUGGCUCUGAAAACACAAUCUUUUAGCCAUCAAACUAAGUAGUUCAGUGCCUCAAGGAGUUUCAUUACUUGUAAUACAUUCAUGCAUCGGGACUAGCUAUCAAACUAAGUAGCUAGGAAAUCGUAUAAUUGUUUAUAGAAGUAUAGAACAAAAUUGCAUUCUGAGGCAAUGAUUGGUUAUCUUAUCCAACAUAUCUUGUAUGUUCCAUUUUUAGGUAUACUCAUUCAAGGCAUCAAAUGCUAUUUGUCGCUAAUAUUUGUCAGUUCUGUAAAUAAUGAAGGAGUUUGAAGGCAGAAGUGGGACUCUAUCAAAUCACAAUCAGGGGGCGAGAUGAGGUUUGCUUUGCAAUAUAUAGAUGUUUUGGUUACAAAUUGGACGCUCAUGGUCACACUUAAUGCUCACCAAGGAGCUCUAAUUUCAUUAAUGGGAUAAAUUGGAGUGUUCUUUUGAAAAAUUGCACAGAUGCCUGAGGGAUAUAAGGUAUAAGGUCAUGAAUUUUACCAUAGAGGAUAAUUUUCGCAUCUUAAAGUUAAAUACUUGCAAAUAGUAUACCAAUACCUUGAUUUUAUAUAUCUUCUUCUGGUAAAUAAGAGAUCCAUCAAUAUUGGUGAAUCAAGAGAGUAUUAAUAGGAAAAGAAAAAGCAGUAUUGGUAGUGAAAUAAUUGGUACUUCCUUUUAUAAAUGAGUUUCUUUAGAAAAUCAAAGCUUUUUCUCUUGGAUAUCCUGCAACCAUGAUGAAGGUAAAGAGAAGAUCAAACUUUCCAUUUGGUUUGUUUUCCUUUUUUAUAAUCUUUUCAUCUCACUUCAAUUUAUUUUUUCAACCUUGUGAAACUUGUGGGUGACAGUUCUCCAUUUGUUUUGGCUCAGUUCGGAAGCUUCAUAUCCAUUUCGAAACUAUACAGAUUGGGGGGAUGCUAUCAGCUUGCUAAACUAUAAUUUUCAAGAUCCAGUUGAAAAUGUUCUAAAAUAUAUAGAGGAUGGAGAUAUUCACAGAUGGAGUUUGCUUGAUAUUAGGGAAUUGAAUUGCAUCACUAAUCCUCAUAUAUAUGAACAGGGUCUUUUGUUUUCAAUUUUGUUGGUUUCUCAUGUGAUAGCAUUACAAUUACUUAGAGGUAAAAGAACAGUAAUUGAAAAAGAUGAGAUAUUGGGAAGGAGCAAAAAUCUAUUCAUUUGCCGGAGAAAUUACAUUGCAGCUGUAUUGCAGGUAUCCAGAACUUAAUUUAAGUUUUAAUAACAUAUUCAUCCUUUACUAUGUGUUUAUCAUAUUUAAUUUUGGUCAUGUGCUGUUAUUGUUUUAUAACAGUUGUGUUCAUAUCGAAAUAAAGCUUUAUUUCUUGA